GCCAGACUCCUACGGGAGGCAGCAGUGGGGAAUAUUGCACAAUGGGGGAAACCCUGAUGCAGCGACGCCGCGUGAGCGAUGAAGUAUUUCGGUAUGUAAAGCUCUGUCAGCAGGGAAGAAAAUGACGGUACCUGACUAAGAAGCCCUGGCUAACUACGUGCCAGCAGCCGCGGUAAUACGUAGGGGGCAAGCGUUAUCCGGAUUUACUGGGUGUAAAGGGAGCGUAGACGGCCAGACAAGUCAGAAGUGAAAGCCCAGGGCUCAACCCUGGGACUGCUUUUGAAACUGCCGGGCUGGAGUGCAGGAGAGGUAAGCGGAAUUCCUGGUGUAGCGGUGAAAUGCGUAGAUAUUAGGAGGAACACCAGUGGCGAAGGCGGCUUGCUGGACUGUAAAUGACGCUGAGGCUCGAAAGCGUGGGGAGCAAACAGGAUUAGAUACCCCCGUAU
rnacentral:rRNA from 1 species